GGAUAACUACCCUUUAGGACUGGGAUAACCCUGGGAAACUGGGGAUAAUACUAGAUAGGCAAUUUUUCCUGGAAUGGUUUUUUGUUUAAAUGUUUUUUCGCCUAAGGAUGGGUCUGCGGCCGAUUAGGUAGUUGGUUAGGUAACGGCUUACCAAGCCGUUGAUCGGUACGGGUUGUGAGAGCAAGAGCCCGGAGAUGGAACCUGAGACAAGGUUCCAGGCCCUACGGGGUGCAGCAGGCGCGAAACCUCCGCAAUGUGAGAAAUCGCGACGGGGGGAUCCCAAGUGCCAUUCUUAACGGGAUGGCUUUUCAUUAGUGUAAAGAGCUUUUGGAAUAAGGGCUGGGCAAGACCGGUGCCAGCCGCCGCGGUAACACCGGCAGCUCUAGUGGUAGCAGUUUUUAUUGGGCCUAAAGCGUCCGUAGCCGGUUUAAUAAGUCUCUGGUGAAAUCCUGUAGCUUAACUGUGGGAAUUGCUGGAGGUACUAUUAGACUUGAGACCGGGAGAGGUUAGAGGUACUCCCAGGGUAGAGGUGAAAUUCUGUAAUCCUGGGAGGACCGCCUGUUGCGAAGGCGUCUAACUGGAACGGUUCUGACGGUGAGGGACGAAAGUUAGGGGCGCGAACCGGAUUAGAUACCCGGGUAGUCCUAACUGUAAACGAUGCGGACUUGGUGUUGGGGUGGCUUUGAGCUGCUCCAGUGCCGAAGGGAAGCUGUUAAGUCCGCCGCCUGGGAAGUACGGUCGCAAGACUGAAACUUAA
rnacentral:rRNA from 1 species